rnacentral:rRNA from 1 species
UACGGAGGGGGCUAGCGUUGUUCGGAAUUACUGGGCGUAAAGCGCACGUAGGCGGACCAGUCAGUUGGGGGUGAAAUCCCGGGGCUCAACCCCGGAACUGCCUCCAAAACUGCUGGUCUGGAGGUCGAGAGAGGCGAGUGGAAUUCCGAGUGUAGAGGUGAAAUUCGUAGAUAUUCGGAGGAACACCAGUGGCGAAGGCGGCAUUCGGGACCGAAACUGACGCUGAGGCGCGAAAGCCAGGGGAGCAAACGGG